UCAAGUGAUCGGAUGAUUGCAAGAGUAUAUGCUCUUGAGGAAAGUCUGGGCUCCACGGAAAAAAGAUGCCAGUUAACGACUGGUCGCCUUUUUAAAGGUGCAGGAAAGUGGAACAGAAAUAUACCGCCAUGUUUACAUGGUAAGGGUGAAAUGGUGUGUGUAAGAGACCACCGCUUUUUUAGUAAUAAAAAAGGCAACUCUAAACCCCAUCUGGAGCAAGACCAAAUAGGCAUAACACAUAAAGUUUUUCCGCUUUGUUGUGCGGGUCGGUCGCUAGAGCUUUGUUGUGAGACAAAGUCUUAGAUGAAUAAUCAUCCCUAUUCAAUUAGGACAGAACCCAGCUUACAGAUCACUUGGUACU
rnacentral:RNase_P_RNA from 1 species